rnacentral:rRNA from 1 species
AGUGAACGCUGGCGGUAGGCCUAACACAUGCAAGUCGAACGGCAGCACAGUAAGAGCUUGCUCUUACGGGUGGCGAGUGGCGGACGGGUGAGGAAUACAUCGGAAUCUACUUUUUCGUGGGGGAUAACGUAGGGAAACUUACGCUAAUACCGCAUACGACCUACGGGUGAAAGCAGGGGAUCUUCGCACCUUGCGCGAUUGAAUGAGCCGAUGUCGGAUUAGCUAGUUGGCGGGGUAAAGGCCCACCAAGGCGACGAUCCGUAGCUGAUCUGAGAGGAUGAUCAGCCACACUGGAACUGAGACACGGUCCAGACUCCUACGGGAGGCAGCAGUGGGGAAUAUUGGACAAUGGGCGCAAGCCUGAUGCAGCCAUACCGCGUGAGUGAAGAAGGCCUUCGGAUUGUAAAGCCCUUUUGUUGGGAAAGAAAAGCAGCAGGUUAAUACCCCGCUGUUCUGACGGUACCCAAAGAAUAAGCACCGGCUAACUUCGUG